rnacentral:rRNA from 1 species
UACGGAGGGUGCAAGCGUUAUCCGGAUUCACUGGGUUUAAAGGGUGCGUAGGAGGGCAGGUAAGUCAGUGGUGAAAUCUCCAAGCUUAACUUGGAAACUGCCGUUGAUACUAUCUGUCUUGAAUAUUGUGGAGGCGAGCGGAAUAUGUCAUGUAGCGGUGAAAUGCUUAGAUAUGACAUAGAACACCAAUUGCGAAGGCAGCUCACUACACAAUCAUUGACGCUGAGGCACGAAAGCGUGGGGAUCAAACAGG